ACUUGCAACACCAGUUCCCGUAUGAUCACCGAAGUUAAGCAACUGGUCAGUAAAUAGAUGGGUGACCGCUUGGGAAUACCAGGUAUUGUAA